GCCUAGCCGUAACAUACAAUUAAACUACUAAUUGUCCGCCAAACAACUACGAGUAGUACUUAAAACUUAAAAGACUUGACGGUGCUUCACCACGCCCUAGAGGAGCCUGUCUAGCAACCGAUAAUCCACGAUUAACCCAGCCUCCUCUGGCCUAACAGUCUAUAUACCGCCGUCGCCAGCUUACCUUGUAAAAGAAAUAAAGUAAGCCAAACAGUAUUUUCCCUAAAACGACAGGUCGAGGUGUAACUAAUGAGGAGGACUAAGAUGGGCUACAUUCUCCUAACCGAGAAUACGAACAAUACUAUGAAAUUAGUAUUUAAAGGCGGAUUUAGCAGUAAGAUAAGAAUAAAAUACUUAACUGAACAUAACGCAAUGAAGUGCGUACACACCGCCCGUCACCCCUGCUAAAACAACACAUAAUUAAAUAAACCACCAAAAACACUUAAACCAGGGUAAGUCGUAACAUGGUAAGCGUACUGGAAAGUGCACUU
rnacentral:rRNA from 1 species